UCCCAACUUCAGCUCUGAAUAUGGUGGGCA
rnacentral:piRNA from 1 species